GACGAACGCUGGCGGCGUGCCUAAUACAUGCAAGUCGAGCGCAGGAAGCCGUCUGAACCCUUCGGGGGGACGAUGGUGGAAUGAGCGGCGGACGGGUGAGUAACACGUAAAGAACCUGCCCAUAGGUCUGGGAUAACCACGAGAAAUCGGGGCUAAUACCGGAUGUGUCAUCGGACCGCAUGGUCCGCUGAUGAAAGGCGCUCCGGCGUCGCCCAUGGAUGGCUUUGCGGUGCAUUAGCUAGUUGGUGGGGUAACGGCCCACCAAGGCGACGAUGCAUAGCCGACCUGGGAGGGUGAUCGGCCACACUGGGACUGAGACACGGCCCAGACUCCUACGGGAGGCAGCAGUAGGGAAUCUUCCACAAUGGACGAAAGUCUGAUGGAGCAACGCCGCGUGAACGAUGAAGGCUUUCGGGUCGUAAAGUUCUGUUGUAAGGGAAGAACAAGUGCCGCAGGCAAUGGCGGCACCUUGACGGUACCUUGCGAGAAAGCCACGGCUAACUACGUGCCAGCCGCCGCGGUAAAAC
rnacentral:rRNA from 1 species